CUUGCGUUUGUAUCUGCAGACGAAGUGCACCGGUUUUUUCACCCUGCCAGGUGACAAAGUAUCUAUGGAAACCAAUAUCUAUGGAAACCAACGAUGUGCUGUUGUCUCUCACCCUGCCAGCUAACAAAAGGUUGGUGCUGUGGAAACAUUUCCAGCUCUCCACAAGAUACUUUGGCACUGCACCAAAGGAAAACAUGCUUCUUCCAUCUAGAUCCUGGGUGGUUAUGUUCAGAUCAACGCUGCUAUUCAUAUGCUCGUCUUGAAUGGUAUAUUUACACUCUUUUCCAAGAUGCCCUCGACAACAGGCAUGCGUAGAUCAUUGUUCCAGUUGGUUGGAGAUCACAGUGGACCUGUUCAAGUAACCAGCCGCCCACAGAAUUUUUCUCUUUGUGAUGUUCAUCAACAAAUAAUACUGUACCAAAGAAGUUCCACGGUUUGCCACCCUGCCGGCUGACAAAGUAUCUAUUUAAACCAAAGAAGUGCCGUCGCCUCUCACCCUGCCAGCUAAGAAAAGGAUGCCUGCGUGAUUGAGGAGAGCCCAAACAUGAGCAAGGAAUUCUCCUCCUUGCGCAAGCCAUUCGAUGUGCACCUUGACACUGUCUGAUGUCACGAUAUGGAUGAUGGUCUCGGCCCAGAAUUCGGCCAUCACCUUCCAGCGGAGAAACAUCAUCUUCUAUCUUCUCCAGCUCUUUCCCCAGCUUCAAGCCUUUAACGAAGAUGGUAUCUAAAAUGCUAUUAUUGGUGGAAGUGGAACUGAGGAUUUGUAUCCCCGGGGCUGUUGCUGCUUAAUAUGCGAAUUGUGGUAUCGUCAUCGUUGUUGCUUCUGGAACCAUGGAGGACAGUAUCUUCAUUGUUGCUGCUUUUGGAAACAUUGACGACCUAGAGCAAUCUAUCCCUACUCGGCUUCCGCCUACAAAGCAUCUGUCUUAGUUCCAGUUACAGGCAACUGAAGUGAAACAGUGUGUCCGUAGAGUUCCCAGGAAGCAAAUAUGGGAGGAAGGACAUCAAAUGUGCACAAUAUCUGGAUAAAAGUGACCGCAACUUGCUGGUAGUUAUCUGUGUGGAGCUUCCAAAGACUCAGUGUUGCAGUAUUCGAGGCCCCAUUGCCCUGACUGGCUUCAUUGCUAGCCUUGCCUCGCCCGACUCCCCUGGCAUCCUUUUCUCGCCGCCACCACCGCUAUCACCGGCGGCCUCGAAGCCAUCUGCCACGGAGAAGCUGGCAAGAUGCAGUGGUCGCUGCCAAGCCCACUGCAGGUCUACUGACGAUGGACAUGGUCAAGCUUGUCUUGCUGAAGAAAUCUUGUGAACCCAUCGAUGAAUCGACCGCCACCUCUGCUGCCCUGAAGAAGUAUGGAGAUUUGUACCAGCAGCCGGUCACGGCCUUGAUGGACGCCGCCAACCCUGCUCGCAAGAUGGGGAAGAAAGCUGAUGUGACUGCGUCUUGAACCAAGGGUCCCCAUCGGUGAACGACCUACCCAUGAAGAUCAAGGAUGAGGCUGCCCUUUGGGCUGGUGCCGGUGCGUUAGGACUUAGAGCCAUCACCCCCCAAACGUGGGAUGUCCACUGAUUUGCUCACGAACAUUGUAACUGCCUCCUAGGAGGAUUGGAAGCUCUGCUUGGGGAGGCUCUGGCAGUGGCUUGAUCGGCUGCCUCUGCUAGUCUCCAGCGCCCCCACUGUUACCAAUGUUAGAUCUUCCACUUCGUUAUCAGCUGCCCUCUGUUGGUUCCUGUCUCUGUUCUGCGUCACCCCUGUUCCUUGCUUAGUGCUGCUGCAUCUCUGUAUGCUGUGUUUGUGUCUUCAGAAUUCAGAUUCUGGUGUCUGUUCACUACUGUUUGCAAUGCCGGCUAUCCCUUGGGCUGUUUGUUUGCCAUUCGCGAAGACUGUUGUCCAACCGCUUUGCAACGCCCCCACCGCGAUGAUCCCUGCAAUGUAUAUACAACUUAUUAAUUGGAACGUCAGAGGGUUAAACAACCUGGCUAGAAGGAGAGCGAUUCAAAAUUUUAUUGCUGACCACAACUGCAACUUGGUCUGCCUCCAGGAGACUAAGUUGGCUGACCUCUCCCCUGCUCCGGUCACUGAGAUCCCUGCCAGCAAGUUCUCUGCCAAUGUCAUUUUCAAACCGGCUAUUGGCACCCGAGGGGGCAUCUUGGUGGCUUGCCCUGAUGAUUUUGCUAUUGUUCAUCUGCAGUAUCACCUGAUUCCUGCUUCCACAACAAUCUCUGGCCAUCGACCCAUUAUUCUCAAGAAGAUGCACAUUGGGCAUUACAGGGGAUUCAGAUUUGAGGCCUAC